rnacentral:rRNA from 1 species
GACGAACCGUGCGAACGUUAUUCGGAAUCACUGGGCUUAAAGCGCGUGUAGGCGGAUCGGCACGUCCGUGGCUGAAAGCCCCCGGCUCAACCGGGGAAGGGGCGCGGAUACGGCCGAUCUGGAGGGGGGUAGGGGGACCUGGAACUUCCGGUGGAGCGGUGAAAUGCGUAGAGAUCGGAAAGAACACCAACGGCGAAAGCACUCUGCUGGGCCGACACUGACACUGAGAGACGAAAGCUAGGGGAGCGAAUGGG